rnacentral:rRNA from 1 species
UGAGGAAAGCAGGGGAUCGUAAGACCUUGCGCUUUUGGAGCGGCCGAUGUCUGAUUAGCUAGUUGGUGGGGUAAUGGCCUACCAAAGCUUCGAUCAGUAGCUGGUCUGAGAGGACGGCCAGCCACACUGGGACUGAGACACGGCCCAGACUCCUACGGGAGGCAGCAGUGGGGAAUUUUGGACAAUGGGCGCAAGCCUGAUCCAGCCAUGCCGCGUGAGUGAAGAAGGCCUUCGGGUUGUAAAGCUCUUUCAGCCGGGAAGAAAAGGCUGCGACUAAUAAUCGCAGUUCAUGACGGUACCGGAAGAAGAAGCACCGGCUAACUACGUGCCAGCAGCCGCGGUAAUACGUAGGGUGCGAGCGUUAAUCGGAAUUACUGGGCGUAAAGGGUGCGCAGGCGGUUUUGUAAGUCAGAUGUGAAAUCCC